rnacentral:lncRNA from 1 species
AUCCUGCUCUUCCCUCCUAAGUGGUUCAGCUUUCCCAUCCAGUCACCCAUGGGAGCUACCUCUGAGCCGAUGAGAGCGCUCGGCAGUGACCCUGACGGAAGCAACGUCAAUGUUCCGUGCAUAUAUCGAGAUGGCACUAUACCCCUCCCGGGAAUUUGAGCAAUGUCCAGUAAUGCAAAACAGAUGGGAAGAAGCAAGAAGCCCAGAAACCUCCUUCACGAUUUUGAUCCUACAGCCUCCUUGGAUCCUAGCCAACCUCCGGAGAUGAGAUAGAGAUGAGGGAUAUGCAUGCAGAAGAAACCAGACAGCCUGCAACCUGAGUGUUAAUGGGAAAUGAAAACUCUUUUCUUGAGAGGUUAUCCUAAACUCCUCUAAGACAGGUGUGGCUCACAUGUAUAAAACUGGGGGUCCUAACUCAGCUGCUUUCUGCUACCAUGUGGUGGCUGAACAGCACUGCCAUCAGCCAGCUGGAGGGCGAUUCUGUUUUGCGUCACCCCCACCUCCUCAGUAAAACCUCUGGAUAUGAAAUAGACUCGGUGUCCGGAUUGCCGUGGGGGCGUCCAAACAAAACCAAGGUGAAUCAUCCACUCCGGGGGAGGCUCCAGGAACCCAAGACGAAGAGGAUUUGUAGCAGAGGGUGAAGAGAGGUCACCUCCAACCAAACUGAGGGGUACUGGAGGGGCCCCCAAAUAUUGCUGCACUGGAUGCCUGAAAGGGAGGCAGCGUCUGGGCCAGCCCAAGAAUGACCCUGACCCACAGCCUGGUGGCAGCCAGCCUGACUCCGGGGGACUUGGUCCCAGAGCCCCCAGUGGGAGAGCUUCUUCCAAAGCAGAGGCUGACCCUCAGCCUGGGAUCACAACAACCUUCAGAGGUCUGGGGGCUAUGUUUUGGCCUGAACACAAGUGGUGGAACCGGGAUUAGAACCCAUGACCUUCUGACUCCCAGGCCUGUGCUCUAUCUACUAUGCCAUGCUGCUUCUCAGAAUACAGUGACCUGA